GGAUUGUAGCUCAGUGGUAUAGCGCUUGCCUUGCAUGCAUGAGGCCCUGGGUUCGAUCCUCAGUACCA
rnacentral:tRNA from 1 species